CAAAUCCCGGGGCCUCUUUGCUGGUAUUUCCCUAGAAGGAAGCUGUCUGAUUGAAAGGAAAGAAACUAAUCGGAAGCCAAAGAACUACCUCCAAAACCAUCAUCAAGGCCACAGCCAUCACGCCCACCUGUGCAGCUGAAUGCCGGCUCCCAGAGUAAUAGAAAUGAAUAUAAGCUAUAUCCUGAGCUUUCUAGCUAUCAUGAGAAAACUGGCAGUUUGAGUCAGCCAAUAGAAGUGACAGCAUUAUACUCUUUUGAAGGGCAACAGCCCGGGGACUUGAAUUUUCAAGCAGGAGACAGAAUCAUAGUUAUAUCAAAGACCGACUCAAAUUUUGAUUGGUGGGAAGGAAAACUUCGAGGUCAAACUGGAAUUUUCCCAGCCAACUAUGUAACUAUGAAUUAAAGUUCAUACGAUUUUGUUAUUUGAUAAUUACACAAAAACAUUUCUACACAGACAGGAUUCACUAUUUACAUCAGAUUGUUUAAACACACCCUUGCUCUGCAAAUGUUUUUAUCCAGUUGUAAAAUAUUUUCUCUGCAUAUAAAUAAAUGGUUAAAUCAG
rnacentral:lncRNA from 1 species